rnacentral:rRNA from 1 species
GAUGAACGCUAGCGGCAGGCCUAAUACAUGCAAGUCGAACGGUGUCUUCGGACAUAGUGGCGCCCGGGUGCGUAACACGUAUGCAACCUACCUUACAUUGGGGGAUAGCCUUUCGAAAGGGAGAUUAAUACCGCAUAAGACAGUAGCUGGGCAUCCAGCAGCUGUUAAAGAUUUAUCGAUGUAAGCUGGGCAUGCGUCCAAUUAGCUAGUUGGUGAGGUAACGGCUCACCAAGGCAAUGAUUGGUAGGGGAACUGAGAGGUCAAUCCCCCACACUGGCACUGAGAGACGGGCCAGACUCCUACGGGAGGCAGCAGUAGGGAAUAUUGGGCAAUGGACGCAAGUCUGACCCAGCCAUGCCGCGUGCAGGAUGAAGGCGUUAUGCGUUGUAAACUGCUUUUAUACAGGAAGAAACGACUCUUGCGAGAGGCAUUGACGGUACUGUAUGAAUAAGCACCGGCUAACUCCGUGCCAGCCGCCGCCGUAAUAC